rnacentral:rRNA from 1 species
UACGGGGGGGCAAGCGUUGUUCGGAAUUACUGGGCUUAAAGGGCGCGUAGGCGGGUGUGCAAGUCUGUGGUGAAAGCCUCCAGCUUAACUGGAGAAGUGCCGUGGAUACUGCGCAUCUUGAGGAGGGUAGGGGCAUCUGGAACGGUCGGUGGAGCGGUGAAAUGCGUUGAUAUCGACCGGAACUCCGGUGGCGAAGGCGAGGUGCUGGACCCUUUCUGACGCUGAGGCGCGAAAGCCAGGGGAGCAAACGGG